rnacentral:rRNA from 1 species
GACGUAGGGCGCGAGCGUUGUCCGGAUUUAUUGGGCGUAAAGAGCUCGUAGGUGGCUUAGUAAGUCGGGUGUGAAACCUCCAGGCUCAACCUGGAGACGCCACCCGAUACUGCUAUAGCUUGAGUCCGGUAGGGGAGCGUGGAAUUCCUGGUGUAGCGGUGAAAUGCGCAGAUAUCAGGAGGAACACCAGCGGCGAAGGCGGCGCUCUGGGCCGGUACUGACACUGAGGAGCGAAAGCGUGGGGAGCAAACAGG